CGGGAAGUUCAUAGAAUUGAUGAAGGAAUUUGGAAAAUUUCAGUUUCCAAAAUGCCAAUUCCGGGAUUGGAUCCACGGUACGGCCACAAGAUAUGAGUGCUCAGUUUAGGGUUGGAGCCCUAAGGCUGGCGGAAUGGAAAUAGUUCAGUUCAGGGUUGGAGCCCUAAUGCUGACUAGUUGGGGAGAAGCUCAGUUUAGAGUUGAAACCCUAAUGCUGACCAAUUGGGGAGAAGUUCAGUUUAGAGUUGAAACCCUAAUGCUAACUAAGGAAAGGUUCAGUUUAAGGUUUAAAACCACAAUCCUGAUUAAAGGGAAAAGUUUAGUUUAGGGUUUAAACCCUAAUACUGACUGAAAUGAAAAAGUUCAGUUUAGGGUUUAAAACCCUAAUGCUGAUUGAAGGAAAAAGUUCAGUUUAGGGUUUAAAACCCUAAUGCCGACUUAAUGGAAAAGUUCAGUUUAGGGUUUAAAACCCUAAUGCUGACUGAAAGGAAAAGUUCAGUUUAGGAUUUACAACCCAAAUACUGACUGAAUGGAAAAAGUUCAGUUUAGG
rnacentral:lncRNA from 1 species